GAAUAUUGGACAAUGGGCGCAAGCCUGAUCCAGCCAUGCCGCGUGAGUGAUGAAGGCCUUAGGGUUGUAAAGCUCUUUUACCAGGGAAGAUAAUGACUGUACCUGGAGAAUAAGCCCCGGCUAACUUCGUGCCAGCAGCCGCGGUAAGACGAAGGGGGCUAGCGUUGCUCGGAAUCACUGGGCGUAAAGCGCACGUAGGUGGGUCGCUUAGUCAGGGGUGAAAUCCUGGAGCUCAACUCCAGAACUGCCUUCGAUACUGGCGAUCUUCGAGUCCGGGAGAGGUGGGUGGAACUGCGAGUGUAGAGGUGAAAUUCGUAGAUAUUCGCAAGAACACCAGUGGCGAAGGCGGCUCACUGGCCCGGUACUGACACUGAGGUGCGAAAGCGUGGGGAGCAAACAGG
rnacentral:rRNA from 1 species